rnacentral:rRNA from 1 species
CGUUAGUUGCUUAACGCGUGAAGGCGAGCACUCUAGACGAACUGCCGUUGCAAACGGAGGAAGUGGGAUGACGUCAAAUCAUCAUGCCCUUAUGUUCUGGGCUACACACGUGCUACAAUGGCCGGUACAGACGGACGCAAAGCCGCGAGGUGGAGCAAAUCCUAAAAAGCCGGUCUCAGUUCGGAUUGCAGGCUGCAAUUCGCCUGCAUGAAGUCGGAAUCGCUAGUAAUCGCAGGUCAGCAUACUGCGGUGAAUACGUUCCCGGGCCUU